GGGGGAACAUGGAAAACUUGCUUAUUUUUCAUUUUUCUUUGAUUUUUUUCUUUUUUUCAGUGUGCUUGAGCUUGUAAAAAUACAAGUGAUUGCUUGUGUUUAUGAAUAAAUCUGGCAUGAUGGUGGGAGACUUUAAUUUUUUUUAUUAUUAGACUACUAAAGUUCUAUAUGUUACAUUGUAAAUAGGUAUUAAGCCAUCAUUUG
rnacentral:lncRNA from 1 species